AGACGCACUCGUGCCAGCCGCCGCGGUGAUACGUAGGGUGCGAGCGUUGUCCGGAAUUAUUGGGCGUAAAGAGCUUGUAGGUGGUUUGUCGCGUCUGCUGUGAAAAUCCGGGGCUCAACCCCGGACUUGCAGUGGGUACGGGCAGACUAGAGUGUGGUAGGGGAGACUGGAAUUCCUGGUGUAGCGGUGGAAUGCGCAGAUAUCAGGAGGAACACCGAUGGCGAAGGCAGGUCUCUGGGCCAUUACUGACACUGAGAAGCGAAAGCAUGGGGAGCGAACAGGAUUAGAUACCCUGGUAGUCCAUGCCGUAAACGUUGGGAACUAGGUGUGGGUCUCAUUCCACGAGAUCCGUGCCGCAGCUAACGCAUUAAGUUCCCCGCCUGGGGAGUACGGCCGCAAGGCUAAAACUCAAAGGAAUUGACGGG
rnacentral:rRNA from 1 species